UACGAAGGGGGGCUAGCGUUGCUCGGAAUCACUGGGCGUAAAGCGCACGUAGGCGGCUUGUUAAGUCAGGGGUGAAAUCCUGGAGCUCAACUCCAGAACUGCCUUUGAUACUGGCGAGCUUGAGUUCGGGAGAGGUGAGUGGAACUGCGAGUGUAGAGGUGAAAUUCGUAGAUAUUCGCAAGAACACCAGUGGCGAAGGCGGCUCACUGGCCCGAUACUGACGCUGAGGUGCGAAAGCGUGGGAG
rnacentral:rRNA from 1 species